rnacentral:rRNA from 1 species
GAGACCCACGCCAACAGUUGCCAGCAUGUCCUCCGGGAUGGUGGGGACACUGUUGGGACCGCCUCUGCUAAAGAGGAGGAAGGAAUGGGCAACGGUAGGUCAGCAUGCCCCGAAUUAUCCGGGCUACACGCGGGCUACAAUGGUCAGGACAAUGGGUAUCGACACCGAGAGGUGAAGGCAAUCUCUUAAACCUGUCCUUAGUUCGGAUUGUGGGCUGUAACUCGCCCACAUGAAGCUGGAAUCCGUAGUAAUCGCGUCUCAAAAUGGCGCGGUGAAUAU